rnacentral:misc_RNA from 1 species
GAACUGCGAUAAGUAAUGUGAAUUGCAGAAUUCAGUGAAUCAUCGAGUCUUUGAACGCACAUUGCGCCCCCUGGCAUUCCGGGGGGCAUGCCUGUCCGAGCGUCAUUGCUGCCCUUCAAGCCCGGCUUGUGUGUUGGGUCGUCGUCCCCUCCGGGGGACGGGCCCGAAAGGCAGCGGCGGCACCGCGUCCGGUCCUCGAGCGUAUGGGGCUUUGUCACCCGCUCGAUAAGGACCGGCCGGGCGCCAGCCGGCGUCUCCAACCUUUUUUUCUCAGGUUGACCUCGGAUCAGGUAGGGAUACCCGCUGAACUUGAGC